rnacentral:rRNA from 1 species
UACGAAGGGUGCAAGCGUUACUCGGAAUUACUGGGCGUAAAGCGUGCGCAGGCGGCUUUGCAAGACAGAUGUGAAAUCCCCGGGCUUAACCUGGGAACUGCAUUUGUGACUGCAUGGCUAGAGUGCGGCAGAGGGGGAUGGAAUUCCGCGUGUAGCAGUGAAAUGCGUAGAUAUGCGGAGGAACACCGAUGGCGAAGGCAAUCCCCUGGGCCUGCACUGACGCUCAUGCACGAAAGCGUGGGGAGCAAACAGG